rnacentral:rRNA from 1 species
CGUUCGGGUAGACCAACGAGAGCUUGCUCUCGGGUGACGAGUGGCGCCCCCUUAAGGGGGGUCUGGGAAACUGCCUGAUGGAGGGGGAUAACUACUGGAAACGGUAGCUAAUACCGCAUAACGUCGCAAGACCAAAGAGGGGGACCUUCGGGCCUCUUGCCAUCAGAUGUGCCCAGAUAGGAUUAGCUAGUAGGUGGGGUAACGGCUCACCUAGACGACGAUCCCUAGCUAGACUGAGAGGAUGACCAGCCACACUGUAACUGAGACACGGUCCAUACUCCUACGGGAGGCAGCAGUGUGGAAUAUUGCACAAUAGGCGCAAGCCUGAUGCACCCCUGCCGCGUGUAUGAAGAAGGCCUUCUGGUUGUAAAGUACUUUCAGCGGGGAGGAAGGUGUUAUGAUUAAUAACCACUGCAAUUGACGUUACCCGCAGAAGAAGCACCGGCUAACUCCGUGCCAGCAGCCACGCUAAUACGGAGGGUGCAAGCGUUAAUCGCAAUUACUGGGCGUAAAGCGCACGCAGGCGGUCUAUCAAGUCGGAUGUGAAAUCCCCGGGCUCAACCUGGGAACUGCGUUCGAAACUGGCAGGCUGGAGUCUUGUAGAGGGGGGUAGAAUUCCAGGUGUACGGUGAAAUGCGUACAGAUCUGGAGCAAUACCGGUGGCGAAGCGGCCCCCUGUACAAAGACUGACGCUAAGUGCGAAACGUGGGGAGCAACAGGAUUAGAUACCCUGGUAGUCCACGCCGUAAACAAUGUCGAUUUGGAGAUUGUGCCUUGAGAGUGACUUCGGAGCUAAGCGU